GAUGAACGCUGGCGGCGUGCCUAAUACAUGCAAGUCGAGCGAACAGACGAGGAGCUUGCUCCUCUGACGUUAGCGGCGGACGGGUGAGUAACACGUGGAUAACCUACCUAUAAGACUGGGAUAACUUCGGGAAACCGGAGCUAAUACCGGAUAAUAUAUUGAACCGCAUGGUUCAAUAGUGAAAGACGGUUUUGCUGUCACUUAUAGAUGGAUCCGCGCCGCAUUAGCUAGUUGGUGAGGUAACGGCUUACCAAGGCAACGAUGCGUAGCCGACCUGAGAGGGGGAUCGGCCACACUGGAACUGAGACACGGUCCAGACGCCUACGGGAGGCAGCAGUAGGGAAUCUUCCGCAAAGGGCGAAAGCCUGACGGAGCAACGCCGCGUGAGUGAUGAAGGUCUUCGGAUCGUAAAACUCUGUUAUUAGGGAAGAACAAAUGUGUAAGUAACUAUGCACGUCUUGACGGUACCUAAUCAGAAAGCCACGGCUAACUACGUG
rnacentral:rRNA from 1 species